CACAAUCAUACAUGAAUUUAAUCAUGGCAAGGCAUAGAAAUUUUACCACUUCAUGUGGUUGUAAUUUCUUACAAACUCCAUUAGAGUUAUAAUCAAACUUUGUGGUCUUCGCAUGUAUAUAAAAUCGAAGUAUAUAAUAAAAGAGAAAAAUACGAUAAAAUACUUAUCUUAAAUUCAAAAUUUAAUCAUGAAAGAAGUUCAUAGAACAAUUAACAAUCAUUAUGCUCAAUCCCAAAGCUUCUACUCAAUUGGUUAGAGACUCGUGCUGAUAACGUGUUAUGAAAAAAUAAAAGAAAAAGAAGAGUAUUGCAGAGAAAAGCAGGGAGAGAGAACUCUUAUUGAUUUUGUAAUAAUUUUUUUCCUGGUAAUUAAUUUUUCUAUUACCAGGGAGAUUUUGGGAUAAUUACAAUGGAAUAUAACAUUCUAUUUAUAGGAAGAGAGUGAUUUAGCCACCAAGUAAUAAAUCCUAAAAUUUAUCUAAAUAUAAAGAUUCACCAUAAAUAAUAUUUGAUUUAUAACAAAGUUAACAUACUAUUAGUGCAUUGAGAAAAUACAAACAGUUGAAUUUAGGAGAAAAAAAAUUAUGGAAUAUAUUUUUCUUAAAUAGCAGUUGAAGCAAUAUUUGGAUGAUGCUUUCACAAAAUCUUUGAACAAUUCCUUGUUGAUAUCAAAUUUGGAGAUUUUUCGAUUUUCUUUUUUGUAUUAUCAAUCAAUUAUAGCGCUACAUUAAAUCCAAGAAAAUAAGAAGAUAACUAAUUGCAUUAAAUGAACAAUAACGCCAAAAAAUUAAAGUGCCAUCAAAGUAGUUGAUCACUGCGCUAUCUUGACUACAACCUUUAAAACUUCUUCUAGUGAACAUGUCGAACUUGAAAAGAUAAUAGCAUGGCAAAGAGUAGAUGAUUCAGCCAGGUGAAAAUACUUAUAUGUAUUUAUCAUAGUUAGAUAACAAAUUGAGGUAAUAAAUAUAACUUAAUGUGAUGAUUGAGUGUAAAAAAAUACUUAUAUUAUUGUUUAUUAUUUUAAUGAAUACAAUAACUUAUCUUAAACAAUCGGUAGCAAGACAUGUUAUAUGUGGUGCAAUAAACACACAAAAAAUAAUAAUAAGGAGGAGGAGUACAAAAGCAUACCUCAAAAAGUUGAUCACAGCUUGCAGAUUGCUAUCGAUCAAUAUAAUGACAUAAAAAUUAAAAAAGCACUUUACUAAAAAUUAGUUUAAAAAAAAGUGCAAGAAAAC
rnacentral:lncRNA from 1 species